UCCUGGCUCAGAUUGAACGCUGGCGGAAUGCUUUACACAUGCAAGUCGAACGGUAGAGGGGGCAACCCCUCGAGAGUGGCGAACGGGUGAGUAAUAUAUCGGAACGUGCCCAGUCGUGGGGGAUAACGUAGCGAAAGUUACGCUAAUACCGCAUACGAUCUACGGAUGAAAGCGGGGGAUCGCAAGACCUCGCGCGAUUGGAGCGGCCGAUAUCAGAUUAGGUAGUUGGUGAGGUAAAGGCUCACCAAGCCGACGAUCUGUAGCUGGUCUGAGAGGACGACCAGCCACACUGGAACUGAGACACGGUCCAGACUCCUACGGGAGGCAGCAGUGGGGAAUUUUGGACAAUGGACGCAAGUCUGAUCCAGCCAUUCCGCGUGCAGGACGAAGGCCUUCGGGUUGUAAACUGCUUUUGUACAGAACGAAAAGGUCUCUAUUAAUACUAGGGGCUCAUGACGGUACUGUAAGAAUAAGCACCGGCUAACUACGUG
rnacentral:rRNA from 1 species